UUGAGUUUGAAAGGAAAUUAUAACACCAUUCCCUUUGAUUUCUUUCUUUAUCAUGGCAGUUCACUGAGAGAACAGUAAGAAAGGAGGCACUGAAAUGUGAGCUAAGCAUGAAAAUCUUUGGAAAUGAACUUAGCUUCUUAGAUUGCGAAGAUUUAAGAAAACAGAUGAAACAUUAUUCCUUAAAUCUGGCUGAGUUGGCUGUUAGACUUCUGAAGGUAAAAGGAACCUUUUUUCUAUUUGAAAGUAAAUAUCUUGAGAAACUGCUUUCUGACAGAUAUGUAAAAGAUACAAAAUAUUACUUGUUUUUUCUCUAAAGUGAACUCUAAAAGACUCCAGUGUGUAUUUGGUUUAAACAGCAUUCAGUACAUUAGGCAGACUUGUUCUUUUGUCUAAUGGUUCUUAAUUCUUGCUUCUCGCAUUCAAAUCCAUUCAUGCUUAAGUGCAAAUUCUUUUUUUAACUGGGGUAGGACUGGUGUCUGACUCCUGCCAUGGCCAUAUGCAGGCUUUGGGCUGCUUUCUUCUUGAUAUCCCAAAUCAGCUCAGGUAAAAACACUUUCACAAUAGAUAGAUGCAGUCAAAAGUUAUAUCUGGAAAAGUUCUCGAAUGCUCGAAUUUUGUUAUGCAAAAUAGAAUUCUGGUUUUUGUUUGUGUUUUUUUCACCACAGGGGCAGGAGGUCCAGUUUAACAAAAGGAUGAGUUUGGCUGCUGAACAGUUGCAGUUUCCAGCAAUUUCAGGCUUUCCUGUUCAGCUGGCAGUCAAUGCCUCAGCAGCAAUCAACAUGAAAAUCAAAGGGAAUGCAGAUUUCAAACAACAGUCCAAUUUCUUUCUAAAUGGAUAUAUCAAGCCAAGUGCAUUUGUCCAGCUUUCUGUCCAAAUGGGAACUGUGGGGACUCUGGGACAAGCUGGUCUAAAGUGGUUAACAGGAAUGAGGACAUCUACUAGUCUUGAUGGGGGAAUCCAGGUGAAGAAAGGGAAAGAGUUCAAAGUUUUCUUGAACACUCCAGAAGAAUCUAUGGACAUAAUUAAUUUCAGCUCUAAACUGUACUUCAGAGUGGUGAAUGAUACAGAAGAUAUAGAUGUCUUCCAAGACCACACAGAAACCAGGUCUUGCACUAGGGAGGACGGUGAGUUCAGCUAUUAUGUUUGUCUUAGAAAUGCAUUCUGAAAUAUCCGCGACAGAUCAUUUUUAUUCAGUAGUUUCUUUUUUCACAUGUUAUUUCUAAAAGGUCUACAAUGCAAUGUUAAUUUUCAUGUUUUCUUUGUUUGCUGUUCUAAUUAAAUGUUCAACUGUUGUCUUCCCACCAGUAUCUGAGAUUAUUGGCUGGCAGCUGUGUUCUGAAAUGUCCUAUCCUGACCCAGACAGUGGUUUGGUUUUCCCCCUUAGUGUACCUUUGAGAGUGGCUGUGACAUUAGCUAAGCAAGACAGAGGCCUGCAGCAGUACGUGGUGGAAGCUGCCUAUAACUACAUUGCUCAGGUACCACUGGCACACUGGACUUUGGCUUUUUAGUUGGUUAUUCUGAUGACAGAGUGCUGAAUCUCAGUACUGCAUAUUCAACCCUCUGGAUUCCAAGGUCUACGUUAUUAUUAAUUCCAUUCCCAAUAUAGGAGGAAGAUAUGUUGAACAAAAAUUACUGAUGCUGAUAGUAGGUAUAUACUCUUUUUGUCUAUGAAACAGCACACACAAUCUGUUGUCUCAGUGUGAGAGAUUGUUUUGUAAAUGGUGUGCCAAUGAUAACGUGCUUAUCUUUUCUUUCUUUCAGGAUAAUUCAUGGAUCCCAAGUGAAGCUGUCUUUCACUUCUUCAUUGGGACUCCAAAGUCAGCAUUGAAAAGAGAUGUUGGUGUUGACCUAAGUUUUAGUGUCCCACAGAAGAAAUUCAGAAUCCAAUUUAUACAACCUAAGAAAAAAAUUGAAAUUGAUGGUAGGUUUUUCAACUAAGAGCCUGAUUGUCAGCUAAUAUCAGUUAGGAGAACUUUGUUACAAUU
rnacentral:lncRNA from 13 species